GGGGGAAGUGGCGAAAGGGGCAGUAAGGCGUGGGUAACCUGCCCCGGGGACCGGGAUAGCCGUCCUAACGGACGGGUAAUACCGGGCGACGUGCCGCGGGCGCAUGCCCGUGUCACCAAAGGAGCUUCGCCCCGGGAGGGGCCCACGUGGUAUUACCUGGUUGGCGGGGUAACGGCCCACCAAGGGUCAGAUGCCUAGCGGGUGUGAGAGCACGACCCGCGCCACUGGCACUGAGACACUGGCCAGACUCCUACGGGAGGCUGCAGUCGAGGAUCUUCGGCAAUGGGCGCAAGCCUGACCGAGCGACGCCGCGUGCGCGAUGAAGGCCUUCGGGUUGUAAAGCGCUGUCGGGGGGGAGGAACGGGCCGCAAGGCCCCUGACCGACCCCCGGAGGAAGCACGGGCUAAGUUCGUGCCAGCAGCCGCGGUAAGACGAACCGUGCGAACGUUG
rnacentral:rRNA from 1 species